AAUCAAUAGAAGGGUGGAGGUGGAGGAGAAGCAUAGGAUACUCCGAUCACUGGCGGUAAUGGCCCCUCAUAUUCAGGAGAUGGCGGUGGUGGAGGCGGAGAGCUGUAAUAGACUGAUGGUGGCGGCGGAGAGCUGUAAUGGACUGAUGGUGGCGGCGGAGAGCUGUAAUGAACUGAUGGUGGAGGCGGAGAGCUGUAAACUGGAGGGGGUGGUGAGUACUCUAUGCAGGGAGGGGGUGGGGGUGGUUCGAUACAAGGUGGAGGUGGAGGAGGGGAAUAAUGAGGAGGCGGUGGUGGGGAAUGUGGUGGUGGUGGUGGUGGGGAGUGAGGAUACAUUGGUGGGGGAGGCGGCGAAUGGUGUGGUGGUGGUGGUGAAUUGUAGUAGUAUGGUGGAGGAGAAGAAUGAUGCGGCGGUGGUGGUGAAUUGUAGUAGUAUGGUGGUGGAGGUGAGUGAUGCGGCGGUGGUGGGGAAUUGUAGUAGUAUGGGGGAGGAGAUGAGUGAUGUGGUGGUGGUGGCGGAGGUGAGCUGUAAUAGUAUGGUGGGGGAGAAGAAUGGUGAGGUGGUGGUGGAGGUGAGUAAUGUGGCGGUGGUGGAGGUGAGGGGCACGGCGGUGGGGGAGGGCGAGUGCAAUAAAUUGGAGCUGGUGGUGGUGGAGAUGAAUAUACUGGCGGUGGCGGUGGCGAAGAGUAAACUGGUGGAGGCGGUGGUGGUGGUGGUGGUGGUGGAGGGGGAGAAUAAACUGGUGGAGGUGGAGGCGGUGGUGGUGGUGGUGGCGGUGGAGAGUAGACAGGUGGAGGUGGUGGCGGCGGUGAUGGUGGAGGGGGAGAGUAUACAGGUGGAGGUGGUGGUGGUGGAGGUGGAGGGGGAGAAUAAACAGGUGGAGGUGGAGGCGGUGGUGGUGGUGGGGGAGAGUAGACGGGUGGUGGUGGAGGAGGAGGAGGUGGUGGUGGUGGAGGGGAAUAGACAGGGGGAGGCGGAGGAGGGGAAUAGACGGGUGAUGGUGGAGGUGGCGAUGGUGGAGGCGGCGGAGGCAAUUGAGGUACAAUCGGAGGAAGGGGUGUAACAGAACGACCACACUUAAAAGAUUCACAAUCCACCGGAGGCCGAGACAAAAACGCUGCACAUUGCUCCGAAGACCUCUGAGCAGGACGUGACGGCAAACAAUUCCUCCGGUCAUCAAACUCCGGCAACCUGAGACAGACAGGAGCCUCGCCGGUGAAGAAAUUGUAGCUGUAAGUGAAAUUCUCAAGCUUGGGAAGCUGACAAAUACUCGCCGGAAUCUUCCCCGACAACUGAUUAUGAGCCACAUUCAACUGCUCCACCGACACCAUCCCGCCGACACUUUCCGGCAAC
rnacentral:lncRNA from 1 species